rnacentral:rRNA from 1 species
AGAGUUUGAUCCUGGCUCAGGAUGAACGCUAGCGACAGGCUUAACACAUGCAAGUCGAGGGGCAGCGAGGGCGUAGCAAUACGCCUGUCGGCGACCGGCGCACUGGUGAGUAACACGUAUGCGACCUGCCCCCUACAGGGGUAUAACCCGUAGAAAUGCGGACUAAUCCCCCAUAGUCCUGGGUGCUGCAUGGCAUUCAGGGGAAAGGCCAGCCGGUAGGGGAUGGGCAUGCGGCGCAUUAGCUAGUUGGCGGGGCAACGGCCCACCAAGGCGACGAUGCGUAGGGGUUCUGAGAGGAAGGUCCCCCACACUGGUACUGAGACACGGACCAGACUCCUACGGGAGGCAGCAGUGAGGAAUAUUGGUCAAUGGGCGCAGGCCUGAACCAGCCAAGUCGCGUGAGGGAAGACGGUCCUACGGAUUGUAAACCUCUUUUGUCGGGGAGUAACGUGCGGGACGCGUCCCGUAUUGAGAGUACCCGAAGAAAAAGCAUCGGCUAACUCCGUGCCAGCAGCCGCGGUAAUACGGAGGAUGCGAGCGUUAUCCGGAUUUAUUGGGUUUAAAGGGUGCGCAGGCGGCGCGCCAAGUCAGCGGUCAAAGUUCCGGGCUCAACCCGGUGUCGCCGUUGAAACUGGCGUGCUCGAGUGCGUGCGAGGAAGGCGGAAUGCGUUGUGUAGCGGUGAAAUGCAUAGAUAUGACGCAGAACUCCGAUUGCGAAGGCAGCUUUCCAGCGCGCUACUGACGCUGAGGCACGAAAGCGUGGGGAUCGAACAGGAUUAGAUACCCUGGUAGUCCACGCAGUAAACGAUGACUACUAGCUUUCCGGGGCGACUGUGUCCUGGGAGGCACAGCGAAAGCGUUAAGUAGUCCACCUGGGGAGUACGCCGGCAACGGUGAAACUCAAAGGAAUUGACGGGGGCCCG